rnacentral:rRNA from 1 species
AUUGAACGCUGGCGGCAGGCCUAACACAUGCAAGUCGAACGAGUGGCGGACGGGUGAGUAAUGUCUGGGAAACUGCCUGAUGGAGGGGGAUAACUACUGGAAACGGUAGCUAAUACCGCAUACCAUCGGAUGUGCCCAGAUGGGAUUAGCUAGUAGGGGGGGUAAAGGCUCACCUAGGCGACGAUCCCUAGCUGGUCUGAGAGGAUGACCGGCCACACGGGAACUGAGACACGGUCCAGACGCCUACGGGAGGCAGCAGUGGGGAAGAUUGCGCAAUGGGCGAAAGGCUGAUGGAGCCAGGCCGCGUGUAGGAAGAAGGCCUUCGGGUUGUAAAGUUCUUUCAGCGGGGAGGCGUUACCCGAAGAGGAAGCACCGGCUAACUCCGUGCCAGCAGCCGCGGUAAUAC